ACGAACUGGUGGGACUACUGCAUG
rnacentral:siRNA from 1 species